AUUUUAAAACCCACAUUCCCUUUCUUCCUCACGCAAUCCGAUGCCCCCCUCCCAAUUUCUUUUUCCUCCCGCCGCCUACCUUGACCAACAGCUGAUCUCCUCAGCUCGUCGUCCAAACGCCGCCGGUCCGACCCCAGCUGCUCGCUGCCGAGGUUUUACUCAGCUGACGCCCACCGUUCGGUAAGGCCCGACGGCGUUCGAAGCCCCCUCUUAGCAUGCUACGUUACGCCACUGACCGUCGAGCCGCCUGUCCCGUCAUCUAGCUUGAUCCGUCCAACCUAGGUUCGCUUCACCUCACCGUCAGAUCCGCGUCAUCACGUCGGAUCCGCUGCCUAACUGUCGGAUUUCUUCUGUCGCCGCCACCGUUGCUUGUGCCAGAAUCUUGGAGUCUUUGGAUUUGAGUGUUGGAAGAGUUUCAAGGUCGAAAGCGGAUCGUGCGGCGUUGCAAAAGUUGUUUCGGGUUGGUCAAUCAAACUUUUGGUUGUGGAUUUGAUCUUGGACCAAGUCACAACUUUGGGGAAUUAAUUCGAGAGUUACUUUGUUAGAGAUUAAUUGCUUGGGUUAAUUUUGGAUUUAAUUUGGAGGUAAGUAAUCUUACUACUGUAACUGCCCACGGGCCAGACAUUAGAUGUAUGCUAGCAUGAUAAAUAAAUGUUAUGACAGAAUGAUAGCAUGAUAGACCGAUAGUAUAAUAUGAUCAAAGUAUGUUCUGGUACGAGAUCUGAAUUAUUUAUGUAUGCACAUAGACACUUGAAUGCUAGUAUGAGAUGGUAUGUGCUUCCAUAUGGUUGUAUUUGAUAUGAUGAUGU